rnacentral:rRNA from 1 species
UACAGAGGUCUCAAGCGUUGUUCGGAUUCAUUGGGCGUAAAGGGUGCGUAGGUGGCGCGGUAAGUCGGGUGUGAAAUUUCGGAGCUUAACUCCGAAACUGCAUUCGAUACUGCCGUGCUUGGGGACUGGAGAGGAGACUGGAAUUUACGGUGUAGCAGUGAAAUGCGUAGAGAUCGUAAGGAAGACCAGUGGCGAAGGCGGGUCUCUGGACAGUUCCUGACGCUGAGGCACGAAGGCCAGGGGAGCAAACGGG